rnacentral:rRNA from 1 species
GAUGAACGCUGGCGGCGUGCUUAACACAUGCAAGUCGAACGGAAAGGCCCAAGCUUGCUUGGGUACUCGAGUGGCGAACGGGUGAGUAACACGUGGGUGAUCUGCCCUGCACUUCGGGAUAAGCCUGGGAAACUGGGUCUAAUACCGGAUAGGACGAUGGUUUGGAUGCCAUUGUGGAAAGUUUUUUCGGUGUGGGAUGAGCUCGCGGCCUAUCAGCUUGUUGGUGGGGUAAUGGCCUACCAAGGCGUCGACGGGUAGCCGGCCUGAGAGGGUGUACGGCCACAUUGGGACUGAGAUACGGCCCAGACUCCUACGGGAGGCAGCAGUGGGGAAUAUUGCACAAUGGGCGCAAGCCUGAUGCAGCGACGCCGCGUGGGGGAUGACGGCCUUCGGGUUGUAAGCUCCUUUCGCUAGGGACGAAGCGUUUUUGUGACGGUACCUGGAGAAGAAGCACCGGCUAACUACGUG